rnacentral:pre_miRNA from 13 species
CCCGGCCUCCGCCCCCCGGCCUCCCCCGCCAACAAUAUCCUGACGCUGAGUGACUGCGCUCGGAGACUCCAGCAUCAGUGAUUUUGUUGAAGGGGGCGGCUACCAGCCUCGCGGACGGCC